CUCACCUGAGGUCCAAGCUACAACUCUCUAACUCGAAUAUCGAGACAUCACGAACCAUUGUCGCCUAUAACAAUUAUCAAAUCAUGUCUCAGAGUUCUUAUCGAUAGAACACGUAACUUACAUAGAACAUAUCCCCAAAGACGUUAUAGAAUGAUUUGUAACUCGUUGACCAAAAGUCAACCGUCAAUCAAAGGUCGAUGGUAAGGUCCAUAACCCUACAUAACUCAAUCUGGAAGGUCCGCACCUCGGAUUUCUAAUCCAUAACUUCUAGAGAUCCACAUUAUACUUCUAGAAUAACAUAUUAAAAUCUUAUCACGAUCCGACGGUCGGAUUUCCGUCAAUUGUCAAAAUUAAGUUACGG
rnacentral:lncRNA from 1 species